rnacentral:rRNA from 1 species
GACGAACGCUGGCGGCGUGCCUAAUACAUGCAAGUCGAACGCAGGGGGGACGGGUGAGUAACACGUGGGUAACCUCCCAUCAGAGGGGAUAACACGUGGAAACAGGUGCUAAACCGAUACUGAUGUAUGAACCCGCGGUGCAUGAGCUAGUUGGUGAGGUAACGGCUCACCAUGGCCACGAUGCAUAGCCGACCUGAUAGGGUGAUCGGCCACACUGGGACUGAGACACGGCCCAGACUCCUACGGGAGGCAGCAGUGGGGAAUCUUGGGCAAUGGGCGAAAGUCUGAUGGAGCAACGCUGCGUGAGUGAAGAAGGCUUUCGGAUCGUAAAACUCUGUUGUUAGAGAAGCGGUAACUAAAGAAAAAGCCACGGCUAACUACGUGCCAGCAGCCGCGGUAAUAG